rnacentral:lncRNA from 1 species
CUUGCUACGAAGAGAGCAUGAACCUGGAACCAAGUCCGUGAGAAUGUUUUCUCUCCUGUUGUCCUUCCCUCGGGUUUGGGACCUGCUGGCAGGAUCCUGACUUUGCGGCUCGAGACAAUAAGUCGCAAGGAGCUACUGCACUCCUUUUUUCUAAAGUAAGGAAGAAAUACAUGAGGGUACAGGCCAGAGGAAUGACACCUGAGAGUUGAGAGUCCCUGUCGCUCUGCUAGACCAGCCCCUGGGCGGCUGCUGAAGAGAGGCUGGCCCCCAGCGCCUCCAAGGCAAAGAAUGGGAACCUGCUUCUCCCUUGGGGAGGGAGCAGUUAAGGUUUAAUAACUUCAAGGCAUACCAAUGGUGAGCUUUGAACAGCGUCAUUUGAAAGGUUUCUUUUUCCUCUAAAUAUUUUUGCCAAAGUUGAAGGGUAAACUUUCCAUUUUGCUUUUCCUUCAGUCGGCUUUUGCCCCCUUCCCAGCAGGAGCCUUACAGAAGGGAGACAAAUUAGUUCUCCAGAGCAAUUGGAAAAGACAGAUUUUCCCAAACCCACCUCGCCCCAACCCCUUCGAGCGUUUGAGCUGCUCUUAGAGUGUCCUGCACCUCCCCUGGGCGGGGCUGAGACUUUGGAACUUGCGGAUUCCGGACACUUCCCCUAACAGCUUGCCUUCAAGCCCUGGGGAAACUACAGACACCGGUUGGUGGGGGGAAGGCGCCCUUCCCCAGGCCCAGAGAGCUUUGCUUUACAACAGCGGGCGCAGUGAGGAUCCAGCUGAUCACUGCGCAGAUCCAAUUGAUCUCAAUCAGGUAGAAUCUUUUCUGCUGGCGUUCGGCCUUUGCCAGGGAUCCAACUCAGGACCUUGCAUUUGCGAAGCAGCACCACUGAGCUAAAACCCCAGCUCCCCCACCCCCACAAAUGGGGAUUGAACUGAGGACUUUGUGCUUGCCAGGCAGGCAUUGGCACCACUGAGCUAAACCUCUGUCCCUAUCAUGAUUCUUGAUAAAAGACUCUUGAUCUUAUAAGCAUUGUUAUCCACAGAUUCAUUACCCU